rnacentral:rRNA from 1 species
UACGGGGGGGAGCAAGCGUUGUUCGGAUUUACUGGGCGUAAAGGGCGCGUAGGCGGUCAGCACAAGUCAGUUGUGAAAUCUCCGAGCUUAACUCGGAAAGGUCAACUGAUACUGUGCGACUAGAGUGCGGAAGGGGCAACUGGAAUUCUUGGUGUAGCGGUGAAAUGCGUAGAUAUCAAGAGGAACACCUGCGGCGAAGGCGGGUUGCUGGGCCGACACUGACGCUGAGGCGCGACAGCGUGGGGAGCAAACAGG